CGGCCGCGGAGCCGGGAGAGCGGGACCGGGCGCGCGGAGCCGGGAGCCGGGAGCACGGGGCGCCGGCCGGCGGGGCCGAGGCGGCCGAGCCCCGAGCCGGGCCCGCAGACCUAGGCGCGUGGCCCCCCGCCCGACCCCGACCCGGCCCCGACCCCGCGGCGGCCCGGGCGGGCGGGCGGGCGAGCGCGGCCGGAGGAUGUCGGCGGGCGGCCGCGAUGAGGAGCGGCGGAAGCUGGCCGACAUCAUCCAGCACUGGAACGCCAACCGGCUGGACCUGUUCGAGAUCAGCCAGCCCACCGAGGAUUUGGAGUUCCAUGGAGUGAUGAGAUUUUAUUUUCAAGAUAAAGCUGCUGGGAACUUUGCAACAAAAUGUAUCCGGGUCUCUAGUACCGCCACCACUCAGGACGUGCUGGAAACGCUCGCAGAGAAAUUCCGCCCUGACAUGCGGAUGUUGUCCUCACCCAAGUACUCGCUCUACGAAGUGCACGUCAGCGGAGAAGAAAGAAGAUUGGAUAUAGACGAGAAACCCCUUGUUGUGCAGUUGAAUUGGAAUAAGGAUGAUCGAGAGGGCAGAUUUGUUCUUAAGAAUGAGAACGACGCCAUUCCUGCUAAGAAGGCUCAGAGUAACGGACCUGAAAAGCAGGAAAAAGAAGGUGUUAUCCAGAACUUCAAGAGAACUCUCUCAAAGAAAGAAAAGAAGGAAAAAAAGAAGAGAGAAAAAGAGGCAAUGAGGCAGGCGUCUGAUCGAGACGAUAGACCCUUCCAUGGGGAUGACACUGAAAAUUCUCGACUGGCUGCUGAGGUUUACAAAGACAUGCCUGAAACUAGCUUUACCAGAACAAUUUCUAAUCCCGAGGUGGUUAUGAAACGACGGAGACAACAAAAACUGGAAAAGAGAAUGCAGGAAUUUCGGAGCUCAGAUGGGCGGCCUGAUUCAGGUGGAACAUUGAGAAUUUAUGCAGAUAGUUUAAAACCAAAUAUUCCCUACAAGACGAUCCUGCUGUCUACCACAGAUCCUGCAGACUUUGCUGUGGCUGAGGCUUUAGAGAAGUACGGUCUGGAGAGAGAAAACCCUAAGGAUUAUUGCAUUGCCCGCGUUAUGCUUCCUCCUGGGGCUCAGCAUUCUGAUGAGAAGGCUGCUGAAGAAAUUAUCCUUGAUGAUGAUGAGUGUCCUUUACAGAUCUUCAGGGAGUGGCCGAAUGACAGAGGGAUUUUAGUAUUUCAGCUGAAAAGGAGGCCACCAGACUACAUCCCAAAGAAAAGCCAGAAGCACGUGGAUGGGAAGCCCCUGCACGGAAAGGAGCGAGUUGAUGGGUCUGGCUACGGCUCUGCACUCCCGCCGGAGAAACUGCCCUACCUCGUAGAGCUGAGCCCAGAUGGCUCCGACUCCAGAGACAAGCCGAAGCUCUACCGCCUUCAGCUGAGUGUCACUGAGGUCGGGACGGAGAAGUUCGACGACGGCUCCAUCCAGUUGUUUGGUUCAGGAAUUGAGCCCCAUCACUGUGACCUCACAAACAUGGAUGGAGUGGUCACGGUCACGCCGAGAAGCAUGGAUGCCGAGACCUACGUGGACGGGCAGCGCAUCUCGGAGACAACGAUGCUGCACAGCGGGAUGAAGGUGCAGUUUGGGGCGUCCCAUGUGUUUAAGUUCGUGGACCCCAGCCAGGACCACGCUCUGCCCAAGAGAUCCGUGGAUGGAGGCCUGAUGGCGAAGGGUCCCAGACAAAGGCCUGGAAUUGUUCAGGAGACAACUUUUGAUUUAGGAGGAGAUGUUCAUAGUGGAACAGCAUUACCAGCGAGCAAGAGCUCCUCCAGGCUGGACGGCGACAGGGGGCUGUCUGCCGCCAGCACCGCCGAGCGAGGGAUGGUGAAGCCCGUGGUCAGAGUGGAGCAGCUGCCGGACUACCGCAGGCAAGAGAGCAGAACUCAGGACACUCCUGGGCCUGACCUAAUACUGCCUGCAAGCAUUGAAUUCAGGGAAAGUUCUGAAGAUUCAUUUUUAUCCGCCAUUAUAAAUUACACUAAUAGCUCUACAGUCCAUUUUAAGUUGUCACCUACGUACGUGUUAUAUAUGGCGUGUCGGUAUGUAUUGUCCAGCCAGUACAGACCCGAUGUCAGUCCCGCAGAACGGACACACAAAGUGAUUGCCAUUGUCAACAAGAUGGUGAGCAUGAUGGAAGGGGUCAUUCAGAAACAGAAGAAUAUUGCAGGGGCACUUGCUUUCUGGAUGGCAAACGCAUCUGAGCUUCUCAACUUCAUAAAGCAGGACCGAGAUCUUAGUCGAAUCACGUUGGACGCCCAGGAUGUUCUAGCACACUUGGUUCAAAUGGCCUUUAAAUACCUGGUUCACUGUCUUCAGUCAGAACUGAAUAAUUACAUGCCAGCCUUUCUGGACGACCCCGAAGAGAACAGUCUGCAAAGACCAAAAAUAGACGACGUGCUGCACACGCUCACGGGGGCCAUGUCGCUGCUGCGCCGCUGCCGGGUCAACGCUGCGCUGACCAUCCAGCUCUUCUCCCAGCUCUUCCACUUCAUCAACAUGUGGCUGUUCAACAGGCUGGUGACCGACCCCGAGUCGGGGCUGUGCUCCCACUACUGGGGCGCCAUCAUCCGCCAGCAGCUCGGGCACGUGGAGGCCUGGGCGGAGAAGCAGGGCUUGGAGCUGGCAGCCGACUGUCACCUCAGCAGGAUCGUGCAGGCAACCACUUUGCUCACGAUGGAUAAGUACGCACCCGAUGACAUCCCAAAUAUAAACAGUACCUGCUUCAAGUUAAAUUCACUGCAACUUCAAGCCUUACUUCAGAAUUACCACUGUGCACCCGAUGAGCCUUUUGUCCCUACAGACCUGAUGGAGCAUGUGGUGGCUGUGGCAGAGAACACAGCCGACGAGCUGGCACGCAGUGACGGGCGGGAGGUGCAGCUGGAGGAGGACCCCGACCUGCAGCUGCCGUUCCUUCUGCCCGAGGAUGGCUACUCCUGCGACGUCGUCAGAAACAUCCCGAACGGCUUACAGGAGUUUCUGGACCCUUUGUGCCAGAGAGGAUUUUGCAGGUUAAUUCCUCACCCACGUUCACCAGGCACUUGGACAAUAUAUUUCGAAGGUGCAGAUUAUGAGAGUCACCUUAUGCGGGAGAACACAGAACUGGCUCAGCCUCUGAGGAAAGAACCUGAAAUAAUCACGGUGACCCUCAAAAAGCAGAACGGAAUGGGCCUUAGCAUUGUCGCAGCAAAGGGUGCUGGUCAAGACAAGCUGGGAAUCUACGUCAAGUCUGUUGUAAAAGGAGGUGCUGCUGAUGUGGACGGGCGGCUGGCUGCAGGUGACCAGCUCCUCAGCGUGGACGGACGGAGUCUGGUAGGACUCUCUCAAGAAAGGGCAGCAGAACUGAUGACGAGGACAAGCUCCGUGGUGACGCUGGAAGUAGCCAAGCAAGGAGCCAUUUAUCACGGUCUGGCUACCCUGCUCAAUCAGCCGUCCCCCAUGAUGCAGAGAAUUUCAGAUCGUCGCGGAUCAGGUAAACCCCGACCAAAGAGUGAAGGUUUUGAGCUCUAUAAUAAUUCAGCUCAAAACGGGUCCCCGGAGAGCCCUCAGAUGCCUUGGGCAGAAUACAGUGAACCAAAGAAAUUGCCCGGCGACGACAGGCUCAUGAAGAACAGGGCUGACCACCGCUCCAGCCCCAACGUCGCAAAUGAGCCCCCUAGUCCCGGCGGGAAAGGCGCCUACGCCUCUGGGACAGCGGCCAAGAUAACGUCCGUCUCCACUGGAAACCUCUGUGCUGAGGAGCAGACCCCUCCACCCCGAGCCGAGGCCUACCCCAUCCCGACGCAGACCUACACCAGGGAGUACUUCACCUUCCCGGCCUCCAAGUCCCAGGACCGCACGGCUCCUCCUCAGGACCAGUGGCCCCGAUAUGAGGAGAAGCCCCACGUGCACACGGACAGCAGCCACUCCAGCACUGCAGUCCAGCGUGUGACCCGGUCCCAGGAGGAACUCCGGGAGGAUGUCGGGUUCCACCUGGAACGGCAGAGGGUGGAGGCGGCGAUGGAGCGCAGGUCUGACGGCGGCGACGCGUGGCUCAACCAGGGCUCCUCGCUGGGCUCCAGCGCGUCCAGCCAGGAGCACCUGGGCCCCCCCUCCAGGGCGGGCACCCCCGCGUCCACGCUCACCAAGAGCGGCCCUGGGCGCUGGAAGACCCCAGCCGCCUCCCCGCCGGUGCGGACCGACCCGCCCCCCGGGCACUACGGCGCCGGCGACGGGGACAGCGUCCCCGCGGACUCGCCCCUCCCGCCCCCUCCCACCGGGGCCCAGGUGGCCGCAGAGCGGAAGAAGCGGGAGGAGCAGCAGCGCUGGUACGAGAAGGAAAAGGCGCGCCUGGAGGAGGAGCGCGAGCGCCGGCGGCGGGAGCAGGAGCGCAGGCUGGGCCAGCUGCGGGCGCAGGCACCGCCCCCCGGGGCCCCGCCCCCCGGGCCCGCGGCCCCGCCCCCAGGGCCCGCCCCCGCCCGCGCCCCGGACACCGUCAUCCGGGAGCUGCAGCCCCAGCAGCAGCCGCGCACCAUCGAGCGCCGGGACCUGCAGUACAUCACGGUCAGCAGGGAGGAGCUGGCCUCGGGGGACAGCCUGUCCCCCGACCCCUGGAAGCGGGAUGCGCGGGAGAAGCUGGAGAAGCAGCAGCAGCUGCACAUCGUGGACCUGCUGAGCCGCGAGAUCCAGGAGCUGCAGGGCAAGGCCGAGCGCUCGGCCGAGGAGAGCGACCGCCUGCGCAAGCUCAUGCUGGAGUGGCAGUUCCAGAAGCGGCUGCAGGAGUCCAAGCAGAAGGACGAGGACGACGAGGAGGAGGAGGACGACGACGUGGACACCGUGCUGCUCAUGCAGCGCCUGGAGGCCGAGCGCAGAGCGCGGCAGACUGCUAUGCCAGCAAUCUCUGUUCUAGAUUUGUUGCAGGACGAGGAGCGGCGGCGGCAGCAGCAGCUGGAGGAGAUGCGGACCCGGGAGGCUGAGGAGCGGGCCCGGCAGGAGGAGCAGAGGGCCAGACGCGAGGCCGAAGAGAAGGUCCUGGGCCCCUGAGGGCUCGGGGUGCGCGGCUGAGGGGCCCGGGACGCGCAGGGGGGCCGCUGCUGAUCCUGGAGCCCCGUCGGCCGGCCCGGCCCCCUUCCUGCCCUCUGAGCUGUCAUCCCCUUCCCCUCCGGGCUGUCCCCCCUCCCCCUUCUCCUCCGGGCUGUCCCCCCUCCCCCUUCCCCUCCGGGCUGUCCCCCCUCCCCCUUCCCCUCCGGGCUGUCCCCCGAGUCUUGUCACUCAAGCUUGUGGACUGUGGGGCCUCUGUGUGCUCGGGGCUCUGGUCUUUGCUGGACAGGGUCCAGCUUGUCACUGUGAAGGUGACAAGUGUCCAGUUCACAGGGAGGUCGGGCCGUGGGAAGGACAGGAAACUAGGAAGUCACUGUUAACCUUAAGGAUUUUAAAUAGGUUAUCUUAUGACUUAAUUCUGGUCAGUGGUAAAGAGAGCAAAUGGCUUGUAGAAAACACGGUAGAAGGAAAUUUAAUUUAGUGUGUAAUCUGGUAGGUAUUCUGAGUUAUUGCUUUGUUUCCAUAUGUGGGAUUCUGAGAUUCAGGUAAUCCUUUUAAUUGCUUUUAACAUGACAGCACAGUUGAGCUCCCCUGAGAAAUGGGCGCUUGGUGACGCCGCCCUCCAGGCCCUGCCGUCUGUGGGCGCGUCGCCGCGGCUCUGGGCUCGCUUCCGGGUCCGUCCAGGGCCGGCCGGUCCCUGGACGAGGUGUGGGAGAAGCUGGCCUUCCGUUACUUCCCUUCUGUGAAGGCGGGAGCUCUGAGGUCACGGCUCCUGGUGGGAAAAGUCCAGCGAGCGCCCCCACAGCACACCCUGCAGGAGGAAGCUUGGGGGGCUCUGGUAGUGAUGGGAUCUUUGGGGACGCAACAGGCGGAGAGUAAGACGGUGGGAGUGACGGAUGACUCGGUUAAACGCGAGCCAGGUAGAUGCCGUGGGCACACCUGCACGGCAACGAGCCACGUCUACAGUCCGUUGGCCGUUCCCGUUGCCGUCAUCGUGCCGUGGGCCGUGCCUGAGGAGGGGCGCCGUUCCCAGCGUGGGGUUUCGUGGCGAGGCUCCCCUCGAGCCUGUCAAAGUCGGCAGUGCGUCUAAGGAAAUGGGGUUUCCACAGUUUGAGCCACUAGACCGGGUUUUACAGUGUCGGUCGUGCUGCUGUCCCGGGGCUGCUCGCAGGGGUGUGCCGUCCCGCCUCGGCCCGAGCCCCCGGCCACCUGGGAGCAGUGCCCGCGGGGAGGCGGCCAGGCCGUGUCCUCCACGCCGGGAAACUCCUGGGUUAUUUGACUUUUUUCCAGUGUGCGUUCUCACAAUUUGUGAUUAUGUCAGAUGCACCUGUGUGUGGGUAACUGCUUCUAUAAUUGAGCGCUCAGUGUAAAAAGAAGCCGAAUAACCUAUUUUUUAUAGAGAGUGUCCAAAAUUGAUGGGUUUGCUCUGUCAUAGGAAAACGUGCCGUUCACUUUUUGGGUAGAAUGAAGUCUUCUCGGUUCAUGGGACUGUAUACCUGCUCUUAGUGUCACUGAAAGAACAUGUUUUGGUUUCCCUAAAAUGUUACCAAGUGAGCUUUGUUCACAUAAUACUAAGAUUCCUCACAACUCCACUUAAACUCUGCAGAGGUCAUUCCAGAUUUAAUUCCCUACUCUAAGAGAACGCUCAUUUUGUGUAGAACAUAAGGUAGAAAUGUUUUUCCUUCAGGGUGUCUCAACGUAGUGUAAGAAGAUAAAGUGAGGAGUGGGGCCCAGGGCCAGGACUGAGGCUGGCAUUUGUUCUUAGUGUUUUCUCCCUCAGAGGGUGAAGCUUUGCCCACUGUGUACUCGUGUGCGGGGGGGGGGGGAGUAGGGGAGACACAGCGUGCGAAGUGAGUGGGGUCUGCAGACUUCAGCCCUAGUGCCAGCAAGGCCCCACAGUUAGUCACCUUCCACUGAAUGAAUUUGAAGUCCGCUGUGCUUCCAUUCUGUACAUUGAGCAUUGUACACUGAACACUCCUCAAGUGAAGGCAGAUCAUUCUGUUUCAGCUUUCAUCUCCUUUCUUCUUCACUUUUUUCUGUGUUCUGAAACUUCUGUCAAUCUUUAACAAAACUGUGCUGUUACCUUUUUCAAUGUUAAAUUAACACUGUCAACUGUAGUUUGUGCAGCUAUAUGUCAGAAAAAAUGUACAGUCUGUCAAAAUAUAUUUGAAUAUCUUGUUGCCUGGCUCUCUCAGUUUUCUGUCUGGCAGGGAGUUUAUUAAGAUUUGAAAUACCAAUUAAGAACCGUGGAAAGCAUAUUGGUUGCUUGUGACCUUGGAGAGAUGAGUAAUGUUUUUUACAGUUCGGGGUUUCCUAUUCACUUCCCUCUGAAUGCCUAGAAGUCAGCCAGGUGAUGUAAUCACGUCCUUCUUGUCAAGGAAGGACCGCCCUUCUGAGUUGACCGGGGCUCGGUGGGAAAGCACGCAGGGCUGCACUGCUGGCAGUGCCAGCUGUAGAAGGGCACUUGCAGCCUAGUUUUGGUGUGCCUUUGUCUUUCAACUCGGGAGUAACAGAGGCGACAGGAGGAGGGGUAUUACAGCCGCCUGGAGGCCGAGCGGCGCCGACAGCACGACGAGGCCGAGCGCCAGCUGCUGGAGCCCGAGGAGCUGGGCCUGGGCCGCCCUCCGCUCCCGCGGGGCUACGAG